GUUUUGGAAACAUGUGGUUCCUAAAUUAAACAGACUUGGUGAUUAACUAUAGUUUUUGGUACAUAUGAUAACAUUUCUUUAUUUCAUUUUAUAGAGGAGCUGCAGAAAUUUGGGUUCCACACUACCAGACCUGGAAGGAUGAAGAAGUCACCAAAAAUUAUGAAAGUCAUGAGAAUAUCGCUCAAAGUGAUCUCUGACUUGGCUUGCAUUCAUUCCACUUUAUCUCUUAAUCACUGUGAUUUAUUUAUAUUUAAGGAAUGAUAUAACCACACAUUUUAUUAUUAUUAUUAUAUGUUUUUAUUAUUAGAUGUUCAAAUUGCCCCAAAUUUACAUUUAAUUUUGGAGAGUAGAUACUCUUGCUGUUUCAGUUACCCAACAUUGCUCUGAAAGUUGUGGGAUUUAGCAUAUUGGUGUUGUGUAUAUGAAAGCAUACUCACUCCUUUUCUCCAUUAGUCAUAAAUAUUAUAGAGCAGUCAUACUCAAGCUUAUAUACUUCUUGUUAUAAGGUAAAAAGUUAAGGCAAAACUCUACACAUACUGUACUUUGGAGAGUUGUAGUAGGAAAGAUGAGAAGAAUUAGCAAGUUAGUAGCAAAGCAAAUAAAAUCACACAAAACUUUUUAUCAAAUAAAAUUAAUUUCACAUCUUGAACAUCUUCGCUGCACUAAUGCAAAAGAGGAUAUUUAUAGUGCCUGACUAUUAAUAUUAGAUCAGGUGCACUCUUGAUAAGCUUGUCUGUCAUAUUCCUCCAUUUUAGUCUUGGGUAUAGAAACAAAAAGGAGCACAAAACUAUAAAUGCAUCAUGAAAUUGUAUAAAAACUAAUUAUAAUGAAAUAAUAUUCCUUAUGGUAAUUAAGGAAAUGCCGUUGAAUAAUUUUCCUAUUCCAUAUUACAUGUAAUCUGUUAACUUUCAUGACAAUUAUUGAAUAAAUUUGAAUUUUGUUAUAGCUUCCACACUAACUGGAGCAAAUUUCUUGUAUAAAGACAAAAAUAGAAAGGUAUUAGUCUACCUCAGGAAAUUGAAAUAACUAUAAAUACUAUAAUGUGAAUGUAAUAUAAAAACAAAAGAGGAAGAGGAAAAAAGGGGUGCUAUACUUUAUGCUUUGGUUUAAGAAAGUUUUACUGUGAAACAUUUUCAUUGGAAGGCAAAGUGCAUUUGAUGAAAGAAAAAAAAAAGUCUGCAAAUGAUGUUAUCAAGUAGAAGAACCUUCCUUCUUGAGAAUCCUCUUUCCUUUUCCUUUUUGUAGUGCUUCCAAAGGUAACAAUAUUACUCAGUUCACUGUUUGAUCUCACACAGUAUUCAAUGGGUCCUCCAUAGUUUUUUCUUCCAUUUUUAAACGUUAUUAAAUAAUGACUGUAAUAAAAGAAAAGCACCAGCAAACUACAGUAUUGUUAGUAUGGCAAAGAAGACAAACCACCCAUGAAUGUUUAAAAUGGGAAACUUUCAAGGCAAUAUUUUGAAGUUCCAUAAAUGCACAGCAGGUGAGGAGAGUUGUUGCAAUGUCACAGCAGGUGAGGAGAGUUGUUGCAAUGUAAGAUGUGACAGACAUUGUUAGAUCAAGUGUUAGUCCUUAUUUAAUAAGAAUGAGUCACAUAGGAGUUGAUGGGAUACAGAAAGCACCUUUGAUAUUAUCUGUCUAUAUUACUGCUGUUUUUAACAUUCCCUCCUUGUCCUAUCUUUAUCCUUAAUUGUUAGCUUAGUGUUAAUUGAUAUCUUGAUAUAAGGUGGUGCUAACUUUUUUUGCAAUAGUUUUAUCUUCAGGUUUACUUUGGAUGUUCUAUUUUAUUUUUUAUCAGCCAUUUCCUAUCAAAGCAGGGUGACCCAAAGAAGGAAACACAUUCACCACUAAGUGAUAGUGUGUUUCUAUAGCUGCCGUGCCAGAAGUGUGCAUAUAUUACAUUUCCAAUGGCCCUUUAAACUGCAGUAAUCCCACCAUCCUUCAGAGUGCCAGCACAGAGUAACAAGUAUUUUUUGGGGUGAAUCAUUGUGAUAUCACAUAAGAAUUCAAGAACACAAGUGUAUUUUAUGAAGUUAACACUAGCAAAUGUGCAUACCUCAUGCCAUGGAAUGAAACUAGGUUGGUAAUUGAAGAGAAAAUACAAGAUGCCCAACAUCAACUGUAGUACAGUAAUCAUACGAGCACAGAAUGUCAGUGAAUAAAAUCUGGAUACUUUCAGCAUUGCAACUCUCUUCAAUUGCAUGGCUCAAUACCUGAUUUAAAGACAUCACACACUGACCUCAUUGGUUACCACCAAACCUUCCAACAUCUCUCCUUACCCACUGUGAUGGGGGUUUAUAAGUCUGUGUUGAAUCUUCCUCGUUGCAACAUAAUAGAGCUUGCACAUGUGCAAAACAUUAUCAAAUAAAGAUACAUAUUA